AUUGAACGCUAGCGGGAUGCUUUACACAUGCAAGUCGAACGGCAGCGCGGACUUCGGUCUGGCGGCGAGUGGCGAACGGGUGAGUAAUGUAUCGGAACGUGCCCAGUAGCGGGGGAUAACUACGCGAAAGCGUAGCUAAUACCGCAUACGCCCUACGGGGGAAAGCAAGGGAUCGUAAGACCUUGCACUAUUGGAGCGGCCGAUAUCGGAUUAGCUAGUUGGUGAGGUAACGGCUCACCAAGGCGACGAUCCGUAGCUGGUUUGAGAGGACGACCAGCCACACUGGGACUGAGACACGGCCCAGACUCCUACGGGAGGCAGCAGUGGGGAAUUUUGGACAAUGGGGGCAACCCUGAUCCAGCCAUCCCGCGUGUGCGAUGAAGGCCUUCGGGUUGUAAAGCACUUUUGGCAGGAAAGAAACGUCGCGGGCUAAUACCCCGUGGAACUGACGGUACCUGCAGAAUAAGCACCGGCUAACUACGUG
rnacentral:rRNA from 1 species